AGGGCACCACCAGGAGUGGAGCCUGCGGCUUAAUUUGACUCAACACGGGAAAUCUCACCAGGCCCGGACACUGGAAGGAUUGACAGAUUGAGAGCUCUUUCUCGAUUCGGUGGGUGGUGGUGCAUGGCCGUUCUUAGUUGGUGGAGUGAUUUGUCUGGUUAAUUCCGAUAACGAACGAGACUCUGUCCUGCUAAAUAGUUCCCGCGUCCUUUGUUGCGCGGGAAAUUCUUCUUAGAGGGACUGGCGGCGUCUAGCCGCACGAGAUUGAGCAAUAACAGGUCUGUGUUGCCCUUAGAUGUUCUGGGCCGCACGCGCGCUACACUGAAGGGAUCAGCGUGUCUUCCCUUCCCGAGAGGGACGGGUAACCCGCUGAACCCCCUUCGUGGUAGGGAUCGGGGCUUGCAAUUAUUCCCCGUGAACCAGGAAUUCCCAGUAAGCGCAAGUCAUAAGCUUGCGUUGAUUACGUCCCUGCCCUUUGUACACACCGCCCGUCGCUACUACCGAUUGAACGUUUUAGUG
rnacentral:rRNA from 1 species